rnacentral:rRNA from 1 species
UACAGCGGGGGCAAGCGUUGUUCGGAAUUACUGGGCGUAAAGGGCGCGUAGGCGGCCUGCUAAGUCGAACGUGAAAUCCCUGGGCUCAACCCAGGAACUGCGUCCGAUACUGGUUGGCUUGAAUCCGGGAGAGGGACGUGGAAUUCCAGGUGUAGCGGUGAAAUGCGUAGAUAUCUGGAGGAACACCGGUGGCGAAGGCGACGUCCUGGACCGGCAUUGACGCUGAGGCGCGAAAGCCAGGGGAGCAAACGGG